GGGGGGGUAGGGUGGACCUCUAAUGAGUUACAGAAUAAGGGCAUUAUAAGCAGGAGUAAAAAAUAUAACUCCUUUGCAAACUAAUAGAAUCAUAAGAAAAGUGCAAGCAAAGUUUUGGGAUAUGAUUGCACAGCAUAUUUUUCAUCCCAUACAUACACAAUAUUAGCAGUAGGGGGGUUAAUCAUUAAUGUACUGGCAGUUAGUAUUAAAGCACUUUUUUAUAGGCAGGGACAGCACUGUAUUAAAUACACAUUUCAGAUUUCUUUACAUAGGGGCUUGGAUUUAAGUGUCACAGACUUCUGCCAUGCAACAUCAGUGUGAAUGAUUCCCCGGAACAAAUUGUUCCAGGACACAUGAGAUGUGGAUCUCGUGUUAAAAAUAAAGUCUAGGUCAUACUAAUUAU